rnacentral:piRNA from 1 species
UUUUAGCGGUUUUUAAUGCAUUGGU